UGCCUUCCCUUCACGCUGAGAAGUGGGAGCAAAGGACCGGCUUUGCUGAGUCUGAGGAGCAGCGUGGACUCCUGGGCGCAGAUGAGCGAUGACGCCGUGGAAGGCGGCGUGGAGCCCUGCAAUGCAACAGGCUUGACUACAACAAUGCUGUCAGAGUGCAUCCCUCACGUUAGUCAAGAUUUAUUAGCAUCGACACCGAUAGAAAUUUGGAGGCAGAGAGCAUGCAGGUGACAGAAAUAUUUGAAAAGAGAAAGCAGAUUAUCCAGUCAGUUGGCAAUGUCAAGUCUACAGCUGUCAGCCCUUAGUAACAAAAGUUGUAAAAUAAAAUCAGUUAAGACACA